AAGCCAGUCCAGCAGGCUCUCCAAAGUCCCCGCGAUGGCUGCCCAGGGCUGCGCACUGUCCUGGAUGUCGCUCAGGCUCCCGGCGCUGCUGCUGCUGCUUCUGCUGCUGCUGGCGCCCGGCUUUGCGGGAGCCUCAGGCGCGCGGUGGAGCGGGGAGGGUACCACCCCGCACCUGCAAAGCAUCUUCCUGGGCCGCUGCACCGAGUACCUCGCGCUGCUGAACCCCCAGCUGCGGGACAAGAACUGCACAGACAUCUGGGAGGCCUUUCAAGCGGUGCUGGCCAAGGACCCCUGCUCCGUGCUGCCCUCCGACUACGACCUUUUCAUAAACCUCUCCAGGCACUCCAUUCCCAGAGACAAGUCCCUGUUCUGGGAAAAUAACCAGCUCCUUGUAGCCAGCUACUCGGAGAAGACCCGUCGCUUCAUGCCUUUGGGCGAUGUUCUGUACGGCAGGAUUGUGGAUUUUCUGAUCUGGUGUCGGCAGGAAAAUGCCUCUGGACUCGAUUACCAAUCAUGCCCUGACUCAGAGGGUUGUGAAGACAAUGCUGUGGAUUCUUUCUGGAAAAGGGCAUCCAUGCAGUAUGCACAGGACAGUUCUGGGGUGAUCCACGUCAUGCUGAAUGGUUCAGAGCCAACAGGAGCCUAUCCCGUAGAAGGGUUUUUUGCAGAUUUUGAAAUUCCCUACCUCCAGAAGGAUAAAAUCACACGAAUUGAGAUCUGGGUUAUGCAUGAAAUCGGGGGACCCAACCUGGAAUCCUGUGGAGAAGGCAGUGUGAAAAUCCUGGAAGACAGACUGAAGGGGAUGGGUUUUCAGUACAGCUGUACUAAUAAUCACCUGCCAGUGAAGCUCUUAAUGUGUGUGGACCACAGCACGCAUCCUGACUGUGCCUUAACUUCAUAAUAGUGUAUCUGGUGCUGCUUUCAUGUCUAUGGAUGAACCUGCCCCACCCUUUUGAACAGCUCAGUGCCUGAUUAAGCUUUGAUUGCGGAAACAUCCACUUCCACAAUGGCUGUUUCCAGUGAACAAGCCACCAGCCACAGGACUGAAGAGCCAGCGCCCAGCCCCCUUUGAGUUUCCUGAGUUUUAGAGAUCUUGGCUGAUUCAAUAACUGCUCAUUCAGGCCGCUGUUUUCCCUACUUGCUCUCGCUUUAAAUCCCCUCUCUUAAGUUUUAAAUUCACCAGUAAAGACCGAGUCCCCAAAACCCUAGGCCUUCACCCAUGACCCGAGUAAAACAGAACCCCAGACCUGUGUGUGUUCUUACUCUACCCACAACUUCACUGUGUGUCCCAGGUACGCUGGGUAAUUUCCAGGUCCUGUAAGUAAUAAGCUUUCCCCCCUCAAAGUUCUGUGAUGGUUAUUGCUUAAGGGCAUUUUGCAACCAUGAGCAGAACCACAAGGGUUGGCACAGCCACAGUGCUGGAUAUUGGGAAGCUGAGGCUGGCACAAAACAUGGGGAUUAUCUAUGUCUGAAUCUGUACCUGUACCUAAUUCUAGGUAGACUUACAGGUAAAACAGUGCUUUAUUGUCA